rnacentral:tRNA from 1 species
GGGCGGUUAGCUCAGCUGGGAGAGCGCGGCGUUCGCAUCGCUGAGGUCGAGGGUUCGAAUCCCUUACCGUCCACCA